rnacentral:rRNA from 1 species
UCUACACCGAAGCAAUGGAUUGUCGGCACCCUUCGGGGUGGCGGCAGUGGUAGGAGAGCGCUGUAGGUCAGAUACAAGCCGUACCGUAAGGAGCGGUGUUGGGGCCUACAGGUGAUUAUGCCGGAAUGAGUAACGAUAAAGCAGGUGAGAAUCCUGCUCGCCGAAAGCCUAAGGUUUCCUGGGGAAGGUAAAUCCGCCCAGGGUUAGCCGGUACCUUAGUCGAGGCCGAAAGGCGUAGACGAUGGAUAGCAGGUCAAUAUUCCUGCGCCACUCCAGUGGACCGAUGAGGGGACGACGUUUGAAGGGUGAGCGGUACGAUUAGAAAUGUCCGUGGACCCUUGCGGGGUGGGUGUAGGAAAAUCCGCACCCACAAGCCUCGCUUGGGGACCGACCGCUUUUACGUUCGGGUAGUCAUCUGCAGGACGUCCAAGAAAAGCCUCUAAGGGUUGAAGCUGGAGUGACCGUACUAAAACUGACACAGGUAGGCGAGACGAGUAGUCUUAGGCGCUCGGGAGAACACUGGUUAAGGAACUCUGCAAAUUGGCCCCGUAAGUUCGCGAUAAGGGGUGCCUCUGGGGGUGUUAAAGCUCCUGGGGGUCACAGUAAAUCGGCUUCAGCGACUGUUUAUCAAAAACACAGGACUCUGCGAACUCGUAAGAGGAUGUAUAGAGUCUGACGCCUGCCCGCUGCCGGUAGGUUAAGGAAGAGGGUUAGCCGCAAGGCGAAGCUCGCGACCGAAGCCCCGGUAAACGGCGGCCGUAACUAUGACGGUCCUAAGGUAGCGAAGUUCCUUGUCGGGUAAGUUCCGACCUGCAUGAAUGGCGUAACGACUGAAGCACUGUCUCAACCAGUGACCCGGUGAAAUUGUAGCCGUGGUGAAGAUGCCACGUUCCCGCAGCGAGACGGAAAGACCCCGUGAACCUUCACUGUAGGCUGAUAUUGGGCUGUGGUAUGUCUUGUGUAGGAUAGGUGGGAGGCGUCGAUCUGGGCACGCAAGUGUUCAGGGAGCCAACCUUGAAAUACCACCCUGGACCUGCUUUAGUUCUAACUCUGAUCCCGUGAAUCCGGGCAGAGGACAGUGUCAGUUGGGCAGUUUGACUGGGGCGGUCUCCUCCGAAAGAGUAACGGAGGAGUCCAAAGGUACCCUCAGCCUGGUUGGCAAUCAGGCUUCGAGCGCAAAGGUAUAAGGGUGCUUAACUGCGAGACUUAUCAGUCGAGCAGAUACGAAAGUAGGGCUUAGUGAUCCGGCGGUGCUGGAUGGAAAGGCCGUCGCUCAUCAGAUAAAAGGUACUCCGGGGAUAACAGGCUUAUCGCUUCCGAGCGUCCAUAGCGGCGAAGCGGUUUGGCACCUCGAUGUCGGCUCAUCACAUCCUGGGGGUGGAGAAGCUCCCAAGGGUUUGGCUGUUCGCCAAUGAAAGUGGUACGUGAGCUGGGUUCAGACCGUCGUGAGACAGGUCGGUCCCUAUCUGCUGUGGGCGCACGAA